UACGUAGAGGGCUAGCGUUGUCCGGAAUCAUUGGGCGUAAAGCGCGUGUAGGCGGUCCGGUAAGUCCGCUGUGAAAGUCGGGGGGCUCAACCCUCGGAUGCCGGUGGAUACUGUCGGGCUUGAGUACGGAAGAGGCGAAGUGGAAUUCCUGGUGUAGCGGUGAAAUGCGCAGAUAUCAGGAGGAACACCGAUGGCGAAGGCAGGUCUCUGGGCCAUAACUGACGCUGAGAAGCGAAAGCAUGGGGAGCGAACAGGA
rnacentral:rRNA from 1 species